UGCCAUGUUCCAAAAACAGGCAGGUUUUGUAGGAUGGCUGUGGGCUGGCUGUGCCUUGCACUGAUUCCGAGCACUCAGGCCUCCUCUGGCAGAGCCGUUCUCCAGAGGUGGUCCUGGGGCCAACAGCAGCCGCGUCACUUGGGAACUUGUUAGAAAGACAAAUUCUUAGCCUCCUUCCAGGCCCACUAAUAAAUUAAACCGGAUCCCAGCAGUCUGUGAGUUAACAAGCUCUCCAGGUGAUUCUGUGAAAGGUGGCUCAGGAGAGAGUGGAAAAGGUCAGUAAGCAAGUGCGGGUCGUCUCUCUGGGUUGUAGGGGGGAGUCGUCGGGUGGCUGGUGAGGUGUGUCCUGGCAAGUCUGCGGUGUCGGCUUUGAAGAGGCACCAGGGCGUCCUGCUGCAGGCUGAUUCCUGGGAGGAGAAGGCUGUCAAGGGGCAACAGGUACAUAAUCCAAGUGACGACAAUGCUACAGCAGCUGUGAGAUCUUUGAAGGUGACCUGUGUCUUCCAGAAGACGCAGGAGAAUGAGGCUCCAUUUCAUAGGCUCAGUGGCUGACUUAUAUAAAUGAAGACACCUAUUGGUUGUUCCUUCACCCUGCACACCAGUAUUCAUUUUGAAGAAUGUCCAUCCUGUAAUGCAGAGAUGGGGAUGAGCCUCUGCGAGGAACAGAGUGAAAGCACAGACGUGGCAAUUGUGGGGCUCGGCUGGGAAGCUGAUUUUUUCUCCAGGAACAGUGUGUGUCUAAGGCAAUAGAGGAAGCUGGGCCUCCCCUCUGGAUGCUCCGGUGGGACCAGGGAAGGGUUUCAAGCAGCCUUGACAAACUAGAGUGACUUUCCAGAGCACCUGCUGCUUUCCCCCACACCCCGAGGAGCUGUGAAGUUUCAGGGACAAGAAGAAGAGAGCUGAGGAAGCACAAGCUUAUUGUCAUGGAAGUAUCAUCGAGGGACAGUAUAGAUGCUCAAGGUCAGGUUGGCUGAUUCCCUGACAUUCCAGGAACCCACUGGCACAGAGGAAGGUAUUCCACUGUAUGAAUGUGCCACAUUCUACUGGUGGACACAGGGGGAGCUUCCUGCCUGGGGCUUAUGAAUGGUGCUGCUGUGAAUUUUCAGAUGUGUUGAUCCAGAAGGCCAAAGAGAGAUCAUUUGCCCAAGGUCACACAGUAAGGGGCUGAAGCUGAUAUUUUCGUCCUGUUUAUCUGAUUACAAAAUUAUCCCCCCACAGUACUGGGAAAUUGCCAAAAUAACGGGAUCUUCCAGGACAAAUAAUAAGAGCGCGAUGGCCAUCUCCGCGUGACCACGUUCUGAGAAGUGGAAACAGUCUUCGGAGAAGAAGGUGAGGUCAGCGCCCCCUCUCUGUGACCAAAGGCAAAGGGAUUACCUUCCUGGGAAAAAGGUACGACCGCCCACCCCUGCGGGCACCCUGGGCACUUUUUAACUCUGCUACCAACUGGCUCAGAUACUGAUGGCAAACUCCCCAGUUUUGGAACUUUUUAAGAGACCUGAAAUAUAGCCACUCAUGCUCCAUCCCUUUUCCUUUGGCAUCCCUGCCCUGAUAGUUGGGGGGGGUAGAAUAAAAACCCAACAAACAGAAUGGAAAGCUUCCUAUCCCAAUCUAGCGAAUAGCAGGGCCAUGCCUGGGAAGCUUGGUCACUGCCAAUGUUCUCCUUUUCCUUCCAAGUACAUCAAAGUUCCAAUCAGACCAAAAGAAAAGGUAAACAGAAAAAGCAAUUCCCUAGGAGCCCUCCUGGAAUCAUAGGGUCAGAAAGCUCAGGUACAGAAGGAAGUAUAUGGCCUAAGAAUAGCCUCCCAGAAUGGCCCGCGGCUUACGCUGUUCAGGGGGACAAGAGUGUUCUGGAAGAAAGGCUGCACGACCACGGCGAAGUCUUUACGCUGCAGGUACUGGUGCCAGUAGGAGAACCUGGAGAUGCCACUCUGGGGAUGGGAGAGAGGUUCCUCAACCCUCUUGGUAGGACUGGGCAGACGGGUUCUAGUCCUGCUGCCUUGCUCCGGCUGUGAGGGGGCCACCAGCCCACCCUAGCCAAAGGGGACGUCAGGGGAUGCUCCAGUGUCCCUGCAGGCAUCCAUCCUGCCUGCACCUGGGCCAGGCACCGCCCCUUCUGAAGUCUCUGUGAGACUGGGUCUGAGCCUCUGACCAGACUGCUUGGGCCAAAGGGCUGCAUUAGAAUGUGGGGCUCCAGAUCCAGCUCAAGUGGGGAGCAUUUGAACACUAGCUCCCCAAGAUGCCUAUCAAGUUGGGGGAUGAGUGUCCCUGUAAAAGGGAUAGAUGGGCUUCUCUUCAAGAAGCUUACAAUCCAUCUGGAAAAAUGAGCCAGGAUGUAAAAAGACAAAAAAACAAAACAAAAAACAACCAAACACACACAACAAACCCAUGAGAACCAGCUAUGGGUUCAGAGAAGGUAGACUGAAGCCAAUAUGGGGACAGACCAGGGGGAUGUUUAGUCAGGGGAAGCUUCUUAGAAGAGGUGAAAAGACCUGUCCUGUGCAUGAGAUGGAGACGUGGAAGAAAUGCUCAAGGUGGGCAUGUCAAGAGGGACAGCAUGAGCAGAGGUGCACAUGGAGUUGGGUAUGGAGGGCAGCAGGGGCUAAAGCCCAACAGGGUGGUGGACGCCUGCCUCCCCUCCCUCCCUCCGGGUGAGAGACGGUGUCCGGUGCAUGGAGCCUACUCUGGGCACCGGGGUGGGGAGGCAGAAAUGCUCUCAGCUUCCCCUCUGAGAGUUCUCCCUCACCAACCCGGCGUUCUUUACACCCGGAGGAGUGUUUCAGGGGCUGUGAUCUGCCUUUAGGGAGCAGCCUGGCCCCGGGAGCAGAGGGGGUGCCCAGCAGGGACAGAAGGAGGGGGUGCAGGCUCACCUGGAAGUUCCAAUUCAUUUUCUUCAGUUCUUGCAUCUCCAGGGAAUUCUCCUGGGAACGUGUGAGACAAGUUCAGUUGUUCCUGCGAGAGAAGGGGUCCUGGGGAGAGGUGCCUGGGUGGCUUCCUCCCCGAGGAAGGAGGCCUGGACCCUGUAUUUCCUUGCGUGGGAAGAUGGCAAUACACAGGUGCCCCUGCAACGCGGCCUUGGGUGACUCCUGGACCCAGGUCACAGACUGGGCACUAGGGGUACUGGGUGCUUCUUUAAUGAGAAGGUGGGAGAGCUGGUACCUGCUAUCUGGGUCCCCUUGCCACCUGGCUGCUCCUGCCUAGGGCUGGGCUUCUUCCAGGAAAGGCCUGGAGUUUUGGAAAGGCUGCCAUCAUAACCUUAUCUUUCUUCUUCAUGUUCUGGGAGGACCCCUCCCCCCCCCCCCCCCCCCCCCCCCCCCAGCAGCCUAGGACUUGCCCUCGGAGCUCCAGCGUGGGGAGCCUCCAGGGAAGUGGGAGAGGGUCAGCCAGCUGGAGACACACUGACAAUGCAGCAUGUAAGACUGGAAGAUUCUGCAGGAGCCGUUCACACCUCCCUGCUAGUGCCUGCUCCACCCUGGCCUGUUGCCAAGAGAAGUGGGAACCAGUGAGCCACGUUCCCCACAAAUCCAUGUGACCCCAGCUGGAAUGCCUUGGCCCCCUGCACAAUCUCCUCUUCCACGGUAGCCUCAUAGGAAGGCUGGGUGAUCCUCUGGCCUCAGAAGAUGGCAACUUCCUGCCAGGGUCACAGCUGAGCUUUAAUAAAUUCUAGCCGCCAACAAA